UGCAUGUCUAAGUAUAAGCAAUUAUACGGCGAAACUGCGAAUGGCUCAUUAUAUAAGUUAUCGUUUAUUUGAUAGUACCUUACUACUUGGAUAACCGUGGUAAUUCUAGAGCUAAUACAUGCUUAAAAUCCCGACUUCGGAAGGGAUGUAUUUAUUAGAUUAAAAACCAAUGCCCUUCGGGGCUCUCUGGUGAUUCAUGAUAACUUCUCGAAUCGCAUGGCCUUGCGCCGGCGAUGGUUCAUUCAAAUUUCUUCCCUAUCAACUUUCGAUGUUUGGGUAUUGGCCAAACAUGGUUGCAACGGGUAACGGAGGGUUAGGGCUCGACCCCGGAGAAGGAGCCUGAGAAACGGCUACUACAUCCAAGGAAGGCAGCAGGCGCGCAAAUUACCCAAUCCCGACUCGGGGAGGUAGUGACAAUAAAUACUGAUACAGGGUUCUUUUGGAUCUUGUAAUUGGAAUGAGUACAAUUUAAAUCCCUUAACGAGGAACAAUUGGAGGGCAAGUCUGGUGCCAGCAGCCGCGGUAAUUCCAGCUCCAAUAGCGUAUAUUAAAGUUGUUGUGGUUAAAAAGCUCGUAGUUGAACCUUGGGCCUGGCUGGCCGGUCCGCCUCACCGCGUGUACUGGUCCGGCCGGGCCUUUCCCUCUGUGGAACCCUAUGCCCUUCACUGGGUGUAGCGGGGAAACAGGACUUUUACUUUGAAAAAAUUAGAGUGCUCCAGGCAGGCCUUUGCUCGAAUACAUUAGCAUGGAAUAAUAAAAUAGGACGUGUGGUUCUAUUUUGUUGGUUUCUAGGACCGCCGUAAUGAUUAAUAGGGACAGUCGGGGGCAUCAGUAUUCAAUUGUCAGAGGUGAAAUUCUUGGAUUUAUUGAAGACUAACUACUGCGAAAGCAUUUGCCAAGGAUGUUUUCAUUAAUCAGGAACGAAAGUUAGGGGAUCGAAGACGAUCAGAUACCGUCGUAGUCUUAACCAUAAACUAUGCCGACUAGGGAUCGGACGAUGUUAAAAAUUGACUCGUUCGGCACCUUACGAGAAAUCAAAGUGCUUGGGCUCCAGGGGGAGUAUGGUCGCAAGGCUGAAACUUAAAGAAAUGACGGAA
rnacentral:rRNA from 1 species